AAGCGGCACCAGCUCAAAUUUGAAAUCUGGCCCUUUCAGGGUCCGAGUUGUAAUUUGCAGAGGGUGCUUUGGUGUUGGCGGCGGUCUAAGUUCCUUGGAACAGGACAUCGCAGAGGGUGAGAAUCCCGUAUGUGGUCGCCCGCCUUCGCCGUGUAAAGCCCCUUCGACGAGUCGAGUUGUUUGGGAAUGCAGCUCUAAAUGGGAGGUAAAUUUCUUCUAAAGCUAAAUACCGGCCAGAGACCGAUAGCGCACAAGUAGAGUGAUCGAAAGAUGAAAAGCACUUUGGAAAGAGAGUCAAACAGCACGUGAAAUUGUUAAAAGGGAAGCGCUUGCAGCCAGACUUGCCUGUAGUUGCUCACCCGGGCUCCUGCCCGGGGCACUCUUCUGCAGGCAGGCCAGCAUCAGUUUGGGCGGUAGGACAAAGGCCUCUGACACGUAUCUCCCUUCGGGGUUAACAUAUAGGGGGGGCGCAAUGCUACCAGCCCGGACUGAGGUCCGCGCAUCUGCUAGGAUGCUGGCGUAAUGGCUGUAAGCGGCCCGUCUUGAAACACGGACCAAGGAGUCUAACAUCUAUGCGAGUGUUUGGGUGUCAAGCCCGAGCGCGUAAUGAAAGUGAACGGAGGUGGGAACCCCUCGGGGCGCACCAUCGACCGAUCCUGAUGUCUUCGGAUGGAUUUGAGUAAGAGCAUAGCUGUUGGGACCCGAAAGAUGGUGAACUAUGCUUGAAUAGGGUGAAGCCAGAGGAAACUCUGGUGGAGGCUCGCAGCGGUUCUGACGUGCAAAUCGAUCGUCAAAU
rnacentral:rRNA from 1 species